UACAGAGGGUGCGAGCGUUGUCCGGAAUCACUGGGCGUAAAGGGUGCGUAGGCGGCCGUGCAAGUCUGGCGUGAAAGCCCCGGGCUCAGCCCGGGAAGUGCGCUCGAAACUGCGCGGCUCGAGUGCCGGAGGGGAGAGUGGAAUUCCUGGUGUAGCGGUGAAAUGCGUAGAUAUCAGGAGGAAUACCGGUGGCGAAAGCGACUCUCUGGACGGCAACUGACGCUGAGGCACGAAAGCGUGGGGAGCAAACAGG
rnacentral:rRNA from 1 species